UACGGGGGGGGGCAAGCGUUGUUCGGAAUUACUGGGCGUAAAGCGUGUGUAGGCGGCUUUGCAAGUCGGAUGUGAAAGCCCCGGGCUCAACCCGGGAAGUGCACUCGAUACUGCAGGGCUUGAGUAUCGGAGAGGUUGGUGGAAUUCUCGGUGUAGAGGUGAAAUUCGUAGAUAUCGAGAGGAACACCGGCGGCGAAGGCGGCCAACUGGACGAAUACUGACGCUGAGACACGAAAGCGUGGGGAGCAAACAGG
rnacentral:rRNA from 1 species